CUGUGCUGUCCCCGAUGGCCUCUGCCAUCCCCUGGGAGUUCUUACCCCUGGACGCGCGGUGCCUGUCCGGUCUCAACCUCUCCAGCUCUGCUUUUCCAUCUCUGAGCCUUGAAAAGAUCUUUUGAGGUCGAGGAGGUCGAGACACCCAACUCCACCCCACCCCGGAGGGUCCAGACUCCCCUACUCCGAGCCACUGUGGCCAGCUCCACCCAGAAAUUCCAGGACCUGGGCGUGAAGAACUCAGAGCCCUCGGCCCGCCAUGUGGACUCCCUAAGCCAGCGCUCCCCCAAGGCGUCCCUGCGGAGGGUGGAGCUCUCGGGCCCCAAGGUGGCCGAGCCCGUGUCCCGGCGCACUGAGCUGUCCAUUGACAUCUCGUCUAAGCAGGUGGAGAACGCCGGGGCCGUCGGCCCGUCCCGGUUCGGGCUCAAGAGGGCCGAGGUGUUGGGCCACAAGACGCCAGAACCGGCCCCUCGGAGGACGGAGAUCACCAUCGUCAAACCCCA
rnacentral:sRNA from 1 species